UACGGAGGGUGCAAGCGUUAAUCGGAAUUACUGGGCGUAAAGCGUGCGUAGGCGGUUCGUUAAGUCUGUUGUGAAAGCCCCGGGCUCAACCUGGGAAUGGCAAUGGAUACUGGCGAGCUAGAGUGUGUCAGAGGAUGGUGGAAUUCCCGGUGUAGCGGUGAAAUGCGUAGAGAUCGGGAGGAACAUCAGUGGCGAAGGCGGCCAUCUGGGACAACACUGACGCUGGAGGCACGAAAGCGUGGGGAGCAAACAGG
rnacentral:rRNA from 1 species